GCUAUAAAAGAUGUAACAGAUGCAAACUGUAACACAAGGGCCAUUAACCCUUUCUCUGCUGCCGAGAACUCUCAGUCCCACGCCCCGCACCUAUUGUCUCCUGUGCUAGAAGCUUUGCAGAAAACCUGGAAAGCACCCCUUCUCACUUCAGACUCUCGUCUUCACUCAAAAUGAGAAAAUUUUAAAAAGAGGAUGGGGGACGAACACACCAAAAAAAAAAAAAAGAAAAAAGAAAAAAGGAUAAAAGGUUUUUAAAAGGCGGGGAAAAACCUACCUGCGAAGUCUUGUUUGUAGUUUUGGCCAGAAAUGGUGAGAAGAAAAAGCAUGAAGAAGCCGCGAAGUGUGGGGGAGAAAAAGGUGGAAGCGAAGAAACAGCUCCCGGAGCAAACUGUACAAAACCUCGCCAAGAGUGUCGGGAGGCAGGACCGUUAUUCCUGCGGAGCAGGAGAGAGAGGACAGACCCUGAAACACGCGCCACCUAUCUUUGUGGGGAGGGAUAAUUGAAGCGCCCUGAGCGUGAGCAUCAUGUGAAAACGUGAUCGCCAAGUUUCUCUCUGGGAAAGGAUCUGGG